GGUACAUAUUCCCCAUUUUUGGUACAAAUUCCCCAUUUUUGGGUAGAAAAUUCCGAUUUUGGGUACAAAAUUCCGAUUUUCGCUACAAAUUCCCGUUUUUUGGGUACAAAUUCCGAUUUUCGCUACAAAUUCCCAAUUUUCGGUACAAAUUCCCGGUUUUUUGGAUACAAAUUCCCGUUUUUUGUGUCCAAAUUCCCGUUUUUUUGGGUACAAAAUUCCGAUUUUCGCUACAAAUUCCCCUUUUUUUUGGGUACAAAUUCCCGAUUUUUGGGUACAAAUUCCCGAUUUUUUUGGGUACAAAUUCCCGAUUUGGAGUACAAAAUUCCGAUUUUCGCUACAAAUUCCCGAUUUUUGGGUACAAAUUCCCGUUUUUCGGUCCAAAUUCCCGGUUUUUUUGGAUCCAAAUUCCCGUUUUUUGGGUCCAAAUUCCCGUUUUUUGGGUCCAAAUUCCCGUUUUUUUGGUACAAAUUCCCAUUUUUUGGAUCCAAAUUCCCGUUUUUUGGAUCCAAAUUCCCGUUUUUUGGAUCCAAAUUCCCGUUUUUCGGGUCCAAAUUCCCAUUUUUUCGGUCCAAAUUCCCAUUUUUUGGGUCCAAAUUCCCGGUUUCCGGCGCACAUUCCCGGUUUCCGUCUCCAUUGCGGUUUUGGGCUGAAAUCCGGCGGUUUUGGUCAAAAGGCGCCCCCCAGCAGCGCCACCCGCGGCCCCCCCAGGCUGACGAUGGCGGGCGGCGGCCAGAUGACGUAAGCGGGCAGCGCUGACGUCAGC
rnacentral:lncRNA from 1 species